UACGUAGGGUGCGAGCGUUAAUCGGAAUUACUGGGCGUAAAGCGUGCGCAGGCGGUUCUCCAAUUCCGUUGUGAAAGCCCCGGGCUCAACCUGGGAAUGGCAGUGGAAACUAGGGGACUGGAAUCUGGCAGAGGGGGGUGGAAUGCCGCGUGUAGCAGUGAAAUGCGUAGAGAUGCGGCGGAACACCGAUGGCGAAGGCAGCCCCCUGGGCUGAGAUUGACGCUCAGGCACGAAAGCGUGGGGAGCAAACAGG
rnacentral:rRNA from 1 species